UCGGGAAUUUUGCCCAAUGGACGAAAGUCUGAGGCAGCAACUCCGCGUGAGGGACGAAGGCUCUAGGGUCGUAAACCUCUUUUCUCAGGGAAGAUCCAAGACGGUACCUGAGGAAUAAGCCACGGCUAACUACGUGCCAGCAGCCGCGGUAAUACGUAGGUGGCAAGCGUUGUCCGGAUUUACUGGGCGUAAAGAGCGCGCAGGCGGCUGGUCAAGUCCGAUGUGAAAUCUCCCGGCUCAACUGGGAAACUGCAUCGGAAACUGAUCGGCUUGAAGGUGGGAGAGGGUAGUGGAAUUCCCGGUGUAGUGGUGAAAUGCGUAGAUAUCGGGAGGAACACCAGUGGCGAAGGCGACUACCUGGCCCAUUCUUGACGCUGAGGCGCGAAAGCUAGGGGAGCGAACGGGAUUAGAUACCCCCGGUAGUCCUAGCCGUAAACGAUGAACACUAGGCGUAGUCGGUAUCGACCCGGCUGUGCCGUAGCUAACGCAUUAAGUGUUCCGCCUGGGGAGUACGGCCG
rnacentral:rRNA from 1 species